rnacentral:tRNA from 1 species
GCGCCCUUAGCUCAGGUGGAUAGAGCGACAGCCUCCGAAGCUGUAGGUCAGAGGUUCAAGUCCUCUAGGGCGCGCCA